UGGGCAGUUCAAAAAGGUAUGGAGGGUCAUACAGGCCAUCAAAGAAUGGUUGUCACCAUCACGUCUACAGGCGGGAUUGGGGGUUAAAGGGUUAACUCAUCAGAAUGAUUCCCAUUUAAAUAACCCAUGCUCACAGUGUGGAACAGUAACAUAGUUAUCACCUUUUUUCAGUAUUUCAGCACAAAUCACCUUGGGCAACAGAUUUAUUGAUUUUUGAUUCAAGACUGCAUGACAAACAAUGAGCAAACUUAGAUCAUUG
rnacentral:lncRNA from 1 species